rnacentral:rRNA from 1 species
GACGAACGCUGGCGGCGUGCUUAACACAUGCAAGUCGAACGGAAAGGCCCUGCUUUUGUGGGGUGCUCGAGUGGCGAACGGGUGAGUAACACGUGAGUAACCUGCCCUUGACUUUGGGAUAACUUUAGGAAACAGGGGCUAAUACCGGAUAGGAUCUCCUGCUGCACGUUGUGGGUUGGAGAGUUUCGGUCGUUGGGGAUGGACUCGCUGCUUAUCCGCUUGUUUGUGGGGUAGUUGCUUACCAAGGCUUUGACGGGUAGCCGGCCUGAGAGGGCGACCGGCCACAUUGGGACUGAGAUACGGACCAGUAUGGUACGGGAGGCAGCAGUGGGGAAUAUUGCACAAUGGGCGGAAGCCUGAUGCAGCAGCGCCGCGUGCGGGAUGACGGCCUACGAGUUGUAAACCGCUUUCGCAGGUGACGAAGCGUGAGUGACGGUAAUGGGUAAGGAAGCACCGGCUAACUACGUG